rnacentral:rRNA from 1 species
AAUCAACGCUGGCGGCGUGCCUCAGACAUGCAAGUCGAACGCGAAAGUUCCCUUCGGGGGCGAGUAGAGUGGCGCACGGGUGAGUAACACGUAGGUAAUCUACCUUUGGGUGGGGAAGUAACAGCCGGAAACGGCUGCUAAUACCGCAUAAUGCAGCGGCUCGACAUCGAGACAGUUGUUAAAGGCGGGGGAUCGCAAGACCUCGCGCCUAAAGAGGAGCCUGCGGCGGAUUAGCUUGUUGGUUGAGGUAAUGGCUCACCAAGGCAUCGA